rnacentral:rRNA from 1 species
GAUGAACGCUGGCGGCGUGCCUAAUACAUGCAAGUCGAGCGAACGGACGAGAAGCUUGCUUCUCUGAUGUUAGCGGCGGACGGGUGAGUAACACGUGGAUAACCGACCUAUAAGACUGGGAUAACUUCGGGAAACCGGAGCUAAUACCGGAUGAUAUUUUGAACCGCAUGGUUCAAAAGUGAAAGACGGUCUUGCUGUCACUUAUAGAUGGAUCCGCGCUGCAUUAGCUAGUUGGUAAGGUAACGGCUUACCAAGGCAACGAUGCAUAGCCGACCUGAGAGGGUGAUCGGCCACACUGGAACUGAGACACGGUCCAGACUCCUACGGGAGGCAGCAGUAGGGAAUAUUCCGCAAUGGGCGAAAGCCUGACGGAGCAACGCCGCGUGAGUGAUGAAGGUCUUCGGAUCGUAAAGCUCUGUUAUUAGGGAAGAACAUAUGUGUAAGUAACUGUGCACGUCUUGACGGUACCUAAACAGAAAGCCACGGCUAACUACGUG